UUUACAAUUUGUUUAUGUCAAAUAAUAAGUACUUUUGCAUCUUCUCAAUUCAACAAAAAGAUCAGAUCCAUAAAAAUAAAUAAAUAAAAACAAGAAAAGUGGAAGAUAAUGAACAUUUUUUUGAACUAGAUUGUUGCUUUUGAAAAAAAUUGGAUGUAUUUUUCGUAUUAUUAAUUAAUUCAUUAAUAAUAAAAUAGAUAAUAUGAAAAAAAUAUAUAUAUUGGUAUUAAAAGAAUUAUUUAAGGCAAUUUAUAAAUUUGUUACAAGUUAGAAAAGUUUGCUAAAUUUCCAAUCAUAUUAGAUAUUACUUCAAAUAAUUUGAGCAUACUAAGGUUUAACAUUAAAACUCAAUUAAACUUAAUAUUAUUUAUAAUUAAAAUAUUUUAAGUAUAUUUGACAACCAUUUUUAAGUAUAUAGAAUGUAAAAAUUGACUCAA
rnacentral:lncRNA from 1 species